rnacentral:rRNA from 1 species
UAAUACGGGGGGGGCAAGCGUUGUUCGGAAUUACUGGGCGUAAAGGGUUCGUAGGUGGCUUGCUAAGUCAGACGUGAAAUCCCUCAGCUUAACUGGGGAACUGCGUCUGAGACUGGCGAGCUUGAGUGCAGGAGAGGAACGCGGAAUUCCAGGUGUAGCGGUGAAAUGCGUAGAUAUCUGGAGGAACACCGGUGGCGAAGGCGGCGUUCUGGACUGCAACUGACACUGAGGAACGAAAGCCAGGGGAGCAAACGGGAUUAGAUACCCCGGUAGUCCUGGCCCUAAACGAUGAAUGCUUGGUGUGGCGGGUAUCGAUCCCCGCUGUGCCGAAGUUAACGCGUUAAGCAUUCCGCCUGGGGAGUACGGUCGCAAGGCU